rnacentral:rRNA from 1 species
GACGAACGCUGGCGGCGUGCCUAAUACAUGCAAGUAGGACGCAGUUGUGAACGGGUGCGUAACGCGUAGGUAACUACCUAUUAGAGGGGGAUAAAUAUUGGAAACGAUAGCUAAAACCGCAUACUAGUAGAUGGACCUGCGUUGUAUUAGCUAGUAGGUAGGGUAAUGGCCUACCUAGGCAGAGAGACAUAGACCACCCUAGAGGGUGGUCGGACACACGUGGGUUGCGUCACGGCCCAGACUGCCACGGGAGGGAGCAGUAGGGAAGUCUCGGGCAUGGGGGGAAGCCUGACCGAUCAACGCCGCGGGAGUGAAGAAGGUUUUCGGGUCGUAAAGCUCUGGUGUUAAGGGAGCGGUACUUAACCAGAAAGGGACGGCUAACUACGUGCCAGCAGCCGCGGUAAUAC